rnacentral:rRNA from 1 species
CCUACGGGGGGCAGCAGUGGGGAAUAUUGGACAAUGGGGGCAACCCUGAUCCAGCCAUGCCGCGUGUGUGAAGAAGGCCCUCGGGUUGUAAAGCACUUUCAGUGAGGAAGAACGCCUGGUGGUUAAUACCCAUCAGGAAAGACAUCACUCACAGAAGAAGCACCGGCUAACUCCGUGCCAGCAGCCGCGGUAAUACGGAGGGUGCGAGCGUUAAUCGGAAUUACUGGGCGUAAAGCGCGCGUAGGUGGCUUGAUAAGCCGGUUGUGAAAGCCCCGGGCUCAACCUGGGAACGGCAUCCGGAACUGUCAAGCUAGAGUGCAGGAGAGGAAGGUAGAAUUCCCGGUGUAGCGGUGAAAUGCGUAGCGAUCGGGAGGAAUACCAGUGGCGAAGGCGGCCUUCUGGACUGACACUGACACUGAGGUGCGAAAGCGUGGGUAGCAAACAGGAUUAGAUACCCUAGUAGUC